rnacentral:rRNA from 1 species
UACGUAGGGGGCAAGCGUUGUCCGGAAUCAUUGGGCGUAAAGCGAGCGUAGGCGGUCGGGUAAGUCCCGUGUGAAAGUCAGAGGCUCAACCGUUGAAGGUCGCGGGAUACUGCCUGACUAGAGUCCGGAAGAGGCGAGGGGAAUUCCUGGUGUAGCGGGGAAAUGGGCAGAUAUCAGGAGGAAAAUCCAUGGCGGAGGCAGCUCGCUGGGACGGUACUGACGCUAAGGCGCGAAAGCGUGAGGAGCGAACAGG